rnacentral:rRNA from 1 species
AGAGUUUGAUCCGUGGCUCAAGGAACGAACGCUGGCGGCGCGUCUUAAGCAUGCAAGUCGAACGGCAAGAGGUAGCAAUACCUCCUAGAGUGGCGGACUGGUGAGUAACACGUGGUGACAUACCCUUCAGAUGGGGAUAGCUAUUAGAAAUAGUAGAUAAUACCGAAUACGAGCACAGGGGUUAGAGAUCUGUGAGGAAAGGAGCUAAGGCUCCGCUGAAGGAAUGGCCUGCGGCCCAUUAGCUAGUUGGUGAGGUAAGAGCCCACCAAGGCGAUGAUGGGUAUCCGGCCUUAGAGGGUGAACGGACACAUUGGGACUGAGAUACGGCCCAGACUCCUACGGGAGGCAGCAGCUAAGAAUAUUCCGCAAUGGACGAAAGUCUGACGGAGCGACGCCGCGUGGAUGAAGAAGGCCGGAAGGUUGUAAAAUCCUUUUGAAACUGAAGAAUAAGCGUUGUAGGGAAUGACAGCGUGGUGACAGUUAGGUUUUGAAUAAGCAACGGCUAAUUACGUGCCAGCCGCCGC